AACGACUGCUAAGACUGGAUAGGAAACAAAAAGGCAUCUUUUUGUUUUUAAAAGACCUUCUUAUGAUAGGUAUGCUUAAAGAGGGGCUUGCGCCACAUUAGUUAGUUGGUAGGGUAAAAGCCUACCAAGACGAUGAUGUGUAGCUGGACUGAGAGGUUGAACAGCCACAUUGGGACUGAGACACGGCCCAAACUCCUACGGGAGGCAGCAGUAGGGAAUUUUCGGCAAUGGAGGAAACUCUGACCGAGCAACGCCGCGUGAACGAUGAAGUAUUUCGGUAUAUAAAGUUCUUUUAUUGAAGAAGAAAAAGUAGUGGAAAAACUAUAUUGACGUUAUUCAAUGAAUAAGCCCCGGCUAACUAUGUGCCAGCAGCCGCGGUAAGACAUAGGGGGCGAGCGUUAUCCGGAAUUAUUGGGCGUAAAGGGUGCGUAGGCUGUUAGAUAAGUCUAUAAUUUAAUUUCAGUGCUUAACGCUGUCUUGUUAUAGAAACUGUCUUGGCUAGAGUGAGAUAGAGGCAAGCGGAAUUCCAUGUGUAGCGGUAAAAUGUGUAAAUAUAUGGAGGAACACCAGAAGCGUAGGCGGCUUGCUGGGUCUUUACUGACGCUGAAGCACGAAAGCGUGGGUAGCAAACAGGAUUAGAUACCCUGGUAGUCCACGCCGUAAACGAUGAGGUACUAAGGGUCGGGGUAAAACUCGGUACUGAAGUUAACACAUUAAGUACUCCGCCUGAGUAGUACGUACGCAAGUAUGAAACUUAAAGGAAUUGACGGGACUCCGCACAAGCGGUGGAUCAUGUUGUUUAAUUCGAAGAUACACGAAAAAAUCUUACCAGGUCUUGACAUACUCUGCAAAGCUAUAGAAAUAUAGUGGAGGUUAUCAGGGAUACAGGUGGUGCGUGGUUGUCGUCAGUUCGUGUCGUGAGAUGUUAGGUUAAGUCCUAAAACGAGCGCAACCCUUGUCGUUAAUUGCCAGCACGUAAUGGUGGGACUUUAGCGAGACUGCCAAUUAAACAUUGGAGGAAGGUGAGGAUUACGUCAAAUCAUCAUGCCCCUUAUGAUCUGGGCUACAAACGUGAUACAAUGGCUGUGACAAAGAGUAGCUGAAACGCGAGUUUUUAGCCAAUCUCAAAAAAGCAGUCUCAGUUCGGAUUGAAGUCUGUAACUCGACUUCAUGAAGUUGGAAUCGCUAGUAAUCGCGAAUCAGCAUGUCGCGGUGAAUACGUUCUCGGGGUUUGUACACACCGCCCGUCA
rnacentral:rRNA from 1 species